rnacentral:rRNA from 1 species
CAGCAGCCACGGUAAUACGAAGGGGGCUAGCGUUGUUCGGAAUUACUGGGCGUAAAGCGCACGUAGGCGGACAUUUAAGUCAGGGGUGAAAUCCCGGGGCUCAACCCCGGAACUGCCUUUGAUACUGGGUGUCUAGAGUAUGGAAGAGGUGAGUGGAAUUCCGAGUGUAGAGGUGAAAUUCGUAGAUAUUCGGAGGAACACCAGUGGCGAAGGCGGCUCACUGGUCCAUUACUGACGCUGAGGUGCGAAAGCGUGGGGAGCAAACAGGAUUAGAUACCCCAGUAGUCCCUGUCUCUUAUAC